rnacentral:misc_RNA from 1 species
GUUCACAUAGCUUGCUGUUUUGCAGUUGCUGAAUGGAUUGGAAGAGGACCCAAGAAGAAAACAAGACUUCUGGAAGGGCACGGAUACAAAAAAAGAACAAGAGACUGAAGCAACCAAACUACAAGCCAUAACACAUGCAGGAUUCUCAUUGAAGCUCUGCAGCGUCCUCACAAGAAAGAAAUACACGCUGUAUUCAUCCUGUCCNNNNNNNNNNNUGAACUUGCAGUGUCUUCGAGUCCAAGGACAACUGUGAACACGUCAUCUGGGAACAAAUACUG